AUUUUUUAGAACGUUUAUAUUUUAUGCUCAUCUUUACGUUUACAGGAUUUGGUCAAGAAAUAUGCGAUAGUAACACGGGUCCGGUGUGCUGCGAUGGCUAUUACAGGGAUCAAAACACAGGGAACUGUACCAGUUGCAAACCAGGAUAUUUCGAUUUUAAUUGUUCCAAAAGGUGUGGAUAUCCUACAUACGGUGAAAAAUGUCAGGAAAUAUGCAGCUGUAGUAAAACGUUUUGUGAUUUUGCCUUUGGAUGUCGAUUGAACACAGACAAGU